rnacentral:rRNA from 1 species
UACGAAGGGGGCUAGCGUUGCUCGGAAUCACUGGGCGUAAAGGGUGCGUAGGCGGGUCUUUAAGUCAGGGGUGAAAUCCUGGAGCUCAACUCCAGAACUGCCUUUGAUACUGAAGAUCUUGAGUUCGGGAGAGGUGAGUGGAACUGCGAGUGUAGAGGUGAAAUUCGUAGAUAUUCGCAAGAACACCAGUGGCGAAGGCGGCUCACUGGCCCGGAUACUGACGCUGAGGCACGAAAGCGUGGGGAGCAAACAGG